ACAAAUACGACAAGUACGACAUCGACAAACACAAUGACCUCAACAUCUCCGGCGACGAUGCUUUUUCCCGUCUUUUUGCCGCCGUCGAGGCCGACCUCAAUCAAGCCCUCCAGAGAUCGGACGCUGUGGCAACAGAGAAAAAUAGGGCAAUAGUUGUCGCCAUUAAUGCUGAGAUACAUAGAACGAAGACUCGCUUGCUUGAGGAAUUUCCCAAAUUGCAAAGAUUAGCGCUUAAAAAGGUCUUUUCCUAGUCUGUUAUGUUUAUAUAUAUAUAUAUUAAUUGUUAUGUUUUGUUCUUAUUGUUUUCUGAUACCUUACCUUCUGUUUGGUUGCCCAGAAAAUUGAAGAAAGUAAAAUUAUUUGAUUUAUUUUUACAUUGGUUUUGAAAAAAAAAAAAAAACAUUGAUGAAAUUGGGGACAAUAGAAGGACAAUACGAAAGUAUACAAACCAGUGGUGACAGUGAGUGAUUGAAGAUUCCGGCGGUGUGUGUCAGAUUCCGGCAAUAGGGUAAAUCACGUUCCUCUCCGCCGGGCAAUUGGGUAAAUCCGGUAUGUGGAGAUGAGUAAAUCACGUUCCUCUCCGCCGGACUCCAGGAAUUCUAGAACGCCGUUCUGCCUUUCAACAGGUUCCAGCGAGUUUGAGGUCGUAGUGGAGAGAUUUCAUCGCCGGGACGAGGUGGGCGAUGAGGCUCUUGUCUGCGUGGCCAUGAUUUCGUUGCCGACGGCGAUUCAGUUGAUUUUGGUUUUGGGUAGAAAAGGGAGAUCGCGGUGGAGAGGACAGCGAAGAGUCGGUGAGAACAGAUCCGGCGGAGACAAGAAGGAUGACAGAUAGAUGAUAGCAGAGAGCCGGCGAGACAGAUCCGGCAGUUGGAGAUGGCGGCUGUGAGACAGAUCCGGCAGCGGCAAGACUGAUCUGUGAAUCUGUGAUGAAGAAAAGGAAACACACACAGGGGAGGAGAGAGAAACAAGGAGAGAGAAACAAAACGGGUUAGUUAAAUGGGUAUAACCCAUGUUUUAUUUUUUUAAUGGAAUGAAGAUGUGGCAUAUUUUUAUUGGGCCAA